rnacentral:rRNA from 1 species
UACAGAGGGGGCAAGCGUUGUUCGGAAUUACUGGGCGUAAAGGGCGCGUAGGCGGCCUUCUAAGUCGAACGUGAAAUCCCCGGGCUCAACCCGGGAACUGCGUCCGAUACUGGAAGGCUUGAAUCCGGGAGAGGGAUGUGGAAUUCCAGGUGUAGCGGUGAAAUGCGUAGAUAUCUGGAGGAAUACCGGUGGCGAAGGCGGCAUCCUGGACCGGCAUUGACGCUGAUGAGCGAAAGCUAGGGGAGCAAACGGG